AUUGAACGCUGGCGGCAUGCUUUACACAUGCAAGUCGAACGGGGCAGCAAUGCCUAGUGGCGAACGGGUGAGUAAUGCAUCGGAACGUACCGUGUAAUGGGGGAUAACGCAGCGAAAGUUGUGCUAAUACCGCAUACGUCCUUAGGGAAAAAGUGGGGGAUCGUAAGACAUCACGUUAUACGAGCGGCCGAUGUCGGAUUAGCUAGUUGGUGAGGUAAAGGCUCACCAAGGCGACGAUCCGUAGCGGGUCUGAGAGGAUGAUCCGCCACACUGGGACUGAGACACGGCCCAGACUCCUACGGGAGGCAGCAGUGGGGAAUUUUGGACAAUGGGCGCAAGCCUGAUCCAGCCAUGCCGCGUGAGUGAAGAAGGCCUUCGGGUUGUAAAGCUCUUUUGUCAGGAAGGAAAUCCUGGUGGUUAAUACCUGCCGGGGAUGACAGUACCUGAAGAAUAAGCACCGGCUAACUACGUGCCAGCCGCCGCGGUAA
rnacentral:rRNA from 1 species